rnacentral:pre_miRNA from 1 species
CGAAAAAAAAUUGUAUAUUGUAGUUGGAACGAUUGCCUACGUUUGCCGCUAAGGGCGCUGUUCCAAGUGCAUACAAAUUUAUGUUA